CCAGCUCCAAUAGCGUAUAUUAAAGUUGUUGCAGUUAAAAAGCUCGUAGUUGGAUUUCUGCUGAAGACAGCCGGUCCGCCUCUGGUGUGCACCUGGUUCGGCUUUGGCAUUCUGUUGGGGAACGCGGUGCACUUGAUUGUGUGCCACGGUAUCCAGCAAUUUUACUUUGAGAAAAUUAGAGUGUUUCAAGCAGGCCUUCGCCUUGAAUACUGCAGCAUGGAAUAAUAAGAUAGGACUUUAGUCCUAGCUUGUUGGUUUCUGGGACUGAAGUAAUGAUUAAUAGGGAUAGUUGGGGGCAUUCGUAUUUAACUGUCAGAGGUGAAAUUCUUGGAUUUGUUAAAGACGAACUACUGCGAAAGCAUUUGCCAAGGAUGUUUUCAUUAAUCAAGAACGAAAGUUAGGGGAUCGAAGACGAUCAGAUACCGUCCUAGUCUUAACCAUAAACUAUGCCGACUAGAGAUUGGAGGUCGUUAUUCAUACGACUCCUUCAGCACCUUAUGAGAAAUCAAAGUCUUUGGGUUCUUGGGGGGAGUAUGGUCGCAAGGCUGAAACUUAAAGGAAUUGACGGAAGGGCACCACCAGGAGUGGAGCCUGCGGCUUAAUUCGACUCAAC
rnacentral:rRNA from 1 species